CCCUGAGAAUUGAGAAUACAAUACCGAAAGUUUAUUUUUUAUAAUUAUACUUCAUGCGUGUUCGGGUUCAAUGAUUGUCAGCGAUGAAAUAUAUACUUUGAACAAGUCUUUAAAUUAAAGACUUCCUUAUACACACAUUGACAUUGCAAUACAUGUAAUGUAUAAUGUAUAAGUGAGUUUUUAUAACAUAUUUUUGAAAAACUAAAAAAAACAAAAAUAUUUUAACAAAAAUAUUUAAUUAUCUAACAGUUGAUUUACUCGAUACUCAUAUUUGUCAUUGAGAGCAAGCAAAUAUUAUUGAAAGUGAAUCAACAAUUUAUUUACCUGGGAAUUAAAUGAGGUGUUAGUAGUCAACUGCGCAAUCUUCUAUUUUAGUUACGUUAAUAGAAAAUCUAUUGAACUUGUUUUUUAUUUUCUAUUUAUAAAAUAAAUAAAAAUGCAAAUAUACUUGAGGUCAUGGAACAUGAAAAUUUCAUUGAUUUAACAGAAUAUUAAAUAUAUUUUACAUCGAUCUAGAUAUAGUUGGCUGCAGAAUUUUAUCAAAUGUCAGAUUAAUUUUAUCUAAUAUAAAAAAUUUACUUGAAAAAUUGACCUUACUCUAUAAAGUAUCAAGAAUCACGCGCUUGUUGAUCGUUUUAGUAAAACAUGUUAAUUCUAUAAGGGUUAUUUUUACUUCAUUGAUCAAUUAGUAGAAAAAAAAAAUUAUUAAUACAUAAAUUAUUUUACUUGCGCAUUUUAAGUAUUUAAUAAUUGUUAAGAAUCACGCGCUUAUUGAUCACUGUCUUAUUGUUUUAGUAAAAUAUGUUAAUUCUAUAAGGGUUCUUUUGCUUCAUUGAUCAAUUAGUAAAAAAAAAAAAAAUCAUUAAUACAUAAAUUAUUUUACUUGCGCAUUUUAAGUAUUUUAUAAUUGUUUUUAUUAGCGUAAUUUAAAGAUUUAUAUUUGGCUGCCGUUUAAACACGUCAUUAAGAAAUGUUAAAUCAACAAACUGAAAAUAUAUUUUUUACACUUAUAUGGACUUUGAAACUACGUCGUGAAAUAAUAAUAUUUAGAAUAACAAUUAUUAUUAUUAUUAUUAUUAUUAUGAUUAUGAUUACUAAUAAUAGUAAUAAAAUACAAACCGAAAGUAAAUAUUCAGAAGAGUUAAAAAUAAGAGCUUGUUGCUUUUAAUUAUACAGUGCAUUUCAAAAGUUUAAUUUUAAUUUAUUUUCUAAAUUUUAUAAUACUAUUCUUGAUCUCACGAGUAUUUGAAACUUACUGGUGAAGGGAACAGGCUGAAUCAUUUUAAAACUCAAGGAUUAUAUUCAAGGAUCAAGAAAAU